UAUAGAAGCUAACUGGCUAAUAUUUAGCAUGUCAACUUCACCCACAAGGCUAAAAAACUCCUGAUAUUUUCUCCGAAGCCUUCCAGCACCACACAGGAAGAAGAAACUGGUAAUAUAAUGGUGCAGCUGGCUAAAGGUUAGAACCCAUAAUUUUUUGACCUCCACAAAGAAAAGGCUCGGUCAACUAGGAAUGCCAUUGUCCAGUGACGGAAAAUCAAAAUGGCUGCAUACAUUUAGUUAGCUGGCUGAGGGUUCAAGGGAAGGGUGUCAACCUGUGCGGCUCCCCUCAUCGAGGUCAUCAGAGGUGAAAGUUCACGCAGAAGCCUGUGAGAGGACAGAGGAGGAUGGAAUCGUCUCCCUGAACCUGGAAGUGUGUCUCAGAGUGUUUACUAAAGCUGGACAGAGUGAGGACAAGAAUCUGCUGGUUUGAACCUGAGGUACUCCCUCCGUCCGAAGUCGACCCCGAUGACACCAUCUUCCAGGUCCGGGAGGUCAUAAACUCCAGACGGCGAGGCGGACGCCUUCAAUAUCUGGUCGACUGGGAGGGGUAUGGACCAGAGGAGAGAUCGUGGGUGGACUGAGAUGACAUUCUCGACCCUUCACUACUCUCCGAGUUCCAUCAGCACCAUCCCAACUGUCCUGCUCCCAGAGGCUGCAGUCGUCCUCGCCGCCAUGGAUGGGCGUCUGGAGCUUAAUAAAUUUUAAAAAGUAGCUUUUAAUUAAAAGUAAUUAAGUUUAGCAAUAAAGUGUAGCAUAGUGUGUAAGUUAAAUUUAGCAAUUAAUUGUAGCAUUAAGUGUGUAGCAAGUAAGUUAAGUGAUAGAGCACAAAAUGAAAAACUCCGCCAACCUCCUCCGCCAAUCUCCUCCACCUCCGCUAGCAUCUUCAUCUGAUCUUCAGUGUAAAUACACUUAAUAAAACCAGUUUAUUUCUUUUCAUUCUUUUUAUUAUGUAUUAUUAUUUUUUUAUACAUUAUUUGCUAUUUAUAAAGUACAUUUUCCUUAUUUAAAAACACGUAACAAAAAAAAAUUGGUGUGGUUUUUGGGGGGCUGGAACAGAUUAAUAGCAUUUCAAUUCAUUUUAAUGGAGAAAUUUAAUUUGAUAUAAGAGCAAAUUGAGUUACGAGCUCGGUCACAGACCCAAUUAAACUCGUAAGUCAAGGUAUUAUUGUAUUUAUUUCCACGGUGGGACAAUCUUUAGGGCAAUUAAUCAUUAUUUCUUGCACAAGGCAUAAUCCUAUAGGGCACUGCAUCAAAUUUGCUGACAAAGAAGGAACUUAAAGAGAACUGAAUAAUUUUUUUUUCACAUAGGAGCACUCUAGGAGGAAUUUCAUCAUGUUUUCUCAUAUGUAAAGACACCCUAGAGUGCACAAUGCUAUAUUUUCUUGCAGCCUAUAGGGCACUGCAUCACAUUUUCUCACAAAUAGUGGAUUUUUAGAAGGCAUUUCAUCACUUCUUCUCCUCCAGAAUGACAUGCCAUCUUGCAUUCUAGCUUUCUUGCAUCCUAGAGGGCACAAUAUCAUAUUUUUUUUAUUCCCAGUGGAAUCGACUGGAUGCGAAAAGUGUUUCACCCUGAGCAUGACCUCUGACCCGAACUUUAACCUGCAAGAGCUCUACAUUCGUGUUACCGACAUUCCCCUGAAGUACGAGAUUCCUGUGUUUAUCUGACGCUGCUGCUGGAGAGCGUGCAAAAAUGCGCCCUUGCCCACUUCAAAGGCACCUCGAGCGAGGUGGGAACUCUGUGGAAUUCCAAACCUCUAAUCAGUUAUUUAUUUCCCAAAUUUAGAUAUCCGAUUCAUUGUUUGUGGAGCAGUGCACCCAGACGUGGCUUCAUUUCCUAGAAGGUCAUGGCCCGCCACUCAGUGAUGUACUGGAGUGCGACUAAUAAACAAGUUCUGAGCGUCUGAGGGCACUUUGCCGUAAAUCACACUUAUUUACUGGGCUUUGUGCACACCUUUGUUUGCAAAGGGCGACGUUGACGUGUUUCGAGGAGAACGAUAACAGGCUUUUCUCACCAUGGCCUUCCUGUUAUUCACAGCGGGGUCUUUGUUUGGCUGCAGGGCUCCACGCUCUUCAGCUCUCUGGGGAACGAUGGGAGGGGAAAAAAAGAGAAUUCAACAUCCAUUCGUAGCUGCUCUCUCUCUCUCUCUCUCUCUCUCUCUGUAUCUCUACCUGUGUCUCUCUUUCUCUCUCCGUCUCUAUCUAUCUAUCUAUCUAUCUAUCUAUCUAUCUAUCUAUCUAUCUAUCUAUCUAUCUAUCUAUCUCUUUCUUUCUCACUCCCUCACUCUAUCUAUCUCUCCCUCUCUCUCUCUCUCUCUUUCUCUCUCUCUGUCUCUCGCUCUUUCUCGCUCGCUAUCUUUCACCCCCACUCUCUCUUAUUCUAUCUAUCUAUCUAUCUAUCUAUCUAUCUAUCUAUCUAUCUAUCUAUCUAUCUAUCUAUCUAUCUAUCUAUCUAUCUAUCUAUCUAUCUCCCUCCCUUUCUUGCUCCCUCUCUCUCUAUCUAUUUCUCCCUCUUUCCAUCUAU